GUGAGGAAUUUUCCGCAAUGGGCGAAAGCCUGACGGAGCAAUGCCGCGUGAAGGAUGAAGGCCUAUGGGUUGUAAACUUCUUUUCUUAGAGAAGAAUAUUGACGGUAUCUGAGGAAUAAGCAUCGGCUAACUCCGUGCCAGCAGCCGCGGUAAUACGGAGGGUGCAAGCGUUAUCCGGAAUCAUUGGGUUUAAAGGGUCCGCAGGCGGGCUAUCAAGUCAGAGGUGAAAUCCCACAGCUUAACUGUGGAACUGCCUUUGAAACUGAUGGUCUUGAAUUAAGUGGGCGUUGGCGGAAUAUGACAUGUAGCGGUGAAAUGCAUAGAUAUGUCAUGGAACACCGAAAGCGAAGGCAGCUAACGAUACUUAUAUUGACGCUCAUGGACGAAAGCGUGGGUAGCGAACAGGAUUAGAAACCCUGGUAGUCC
rnacentral:rRNA from 1 species